rnacentral:rRNA from 1 species
GACGAACGCUGGCGGCGUGCCUAAUACAUGCAAGUAGAACGCUGAAGGAGGAGCUUGCUUCUCUGGAUGAGUUGCGAACGGGUGAGUAACGCGUAGGUAACCUGCCUGGUAGCGGGGGAUAACUAUUGGAAACGAUAGCUAAUACCGCAUAAUAGUAGAUGUUGCAUGACAUUUGCUUAAAAGGUGCAAUUGCAUCACUACCAGAUGGACCUGCGUUGUAUUAGCUAGUUGGUGAGGUAACGGCUCACCAAGGCGACGAUACAUAGCCGACCUGAGAGGGUGAUCGGCCACACUGGGACUGAGACACGGCCCAGACUCCUACGGGAGGCAGCAGUAGGGAAUCUUCGGCAAUGGACGGAAGUCUGACCGAGCAACGCCGCGUGAGUGAAGAAGGUUUUCGGAUCGUAAAGCUCUGUUGUAAGAGAAGAACGAGUGUGAGAGUGGAAAGUUCACACUGUGACGGUAUCUUACCAGAAAGGGACGGCUAACUACGUG